ensembl:lncRNA
AAUGCUCUUUUUUUCUUAUGCAGAUCAGAGUUUCUGGUCUAUAUAAUUUUCCUUUUCUCUGAUGAACUUUUAACAUUUCUUGCAAAGCUGGUCUACUGGCAACAGAUUCCAUCUGCCUACUUCUCCUUCACUUUUGAAGGAUGAUUUUCAUACACACAGAAUUCCAGGUUGGUGGUUUUUCACUCUCAGCUUUCUUGAUUGUAUGGUUGCUGAAGAGAGGUCUCAUAUAUGUCUUAUCCUUGCUCCUCUACAGGUAAGAUUUUUUCCCUUCUGGCUUCUUUCAAAAAAAUUUUGUUUGGUUUUGAAUUUCUGCCUUUUGCACAUGAUAUACUUAAGUGAAGAUUUCUGGGGCAUUUAUCUCAAGUCAUGUUCUCUGAGUUUCCUAUAUCUGUGGUUUGUGCCUGUAAUUAAUUUUUGAAAAUCUUCAGCCAUUAUUACUUCAGACAUUCCUUUGUCCCCUUCUCUCCUACCUGGUAUUCUCACUGUACAUUUGUUAUGCUUUUUAUAACUAUCUCACAUUUCUUGGAUAUUGUAUUUCUUAAUUUCUUGUUCCAUUUGCUUUUCAGUUUUGGAAGUUUCUCAUGACAUUUCUUCAAGCUUACCGAGUCUUUCCUCAGCCAUGGUCAGUCUUCUGAUAAGCCCAUCAUAGGCAUUCUUCAUUUCUGUUACAGGAUUUUUGAUUUCUAGUGUUUCCUUUUGACUUUUUCUUAAGAGUUUCCAUCUCUCUGCUUAUAUUACCCCUCUGUUCCUGCAUAUUGUCAUUUUCUUCCAUUAGAGCCUAUAGGAUAUUAAUUGCAGUUGCUUUAAAUUCACAUUCUUAUUAUGUCUGAGUUUGGUUAUGAUGCCUUCUCUAUCUUUACAAACUGUGUGGGUUUUUUUUUUUUUUGUCUUUCAGUUCAGUUCAGUUCAGUCGAUCAGUCAUAUCCGACUCUUUGCAACACCAUGAACUGCAGCACACCAGGCCUCCCUGUCCAUCACCCACUCCCAGAGUUCACCCAAACCCAUGUCCUUUGAGUCAGUGAUGUCAUCCAGCCAUCUCAUCC